AUUGAACGCUGGCGGCAUGCUUUACACAUGCAAGUCGAACGGUAACAGGCCGCAAGGUGCUGACGAGUGGCGCACGGGUGAGUAAUGCAUCGGAACGUGCCCAGUCGUGGGGGAUAACUACUCGAAAGAGUAGCUAAUACCGCAUACGACCUAUGGAUGAAAGCGGGGGACCGUAAGGCCUCGCGCGAUUGGAGCGGCCGAUGUCAGAUUAGGUAGUUGGUGGGGUAAAGGCUCACCAAGCCAACGAUCUGUAGCUGGUCUGAGAGGACAACCAGCCACACUGGGACUGAGACACGGCCCAGACUCCUACGGGAGGCAGCAGUGGGGAAUUUUGGACAAUGGGCGCAAGCCCGAUCCAGCAAUGCCGCGUGCAGGAAGAAGGCCUUCGGGUUGUAAACUGCUUUUGUACGGAACGAAACGGCCCUGGUUAAUACCCGGGGCUAAUGACGGUACCGUAAGAAUAAGCACCGGCUAACUACGUG
rnacentral:rRNA from 1 species